rnacentral:rRNA from 1 species
UACGUAGGGUGCAAGCGUUGUCCGGAAUUAUUGGGCGUAAAGAGCUCGUAGGCGGUCUGUUGCGUCGGCUGUGAAAACCCGAGGCUCAACCUCGGGCCUGCAGCCGAUACGGGCAGACUAGAGUUCGGCAGGGGAGACUGGAAUUCCUGGUGUAGCGGUGAAAUGCGCAGAUAUCAGGAGGAACACCAAUUGCGAAGGCAGCUCGCUGGGACGUGACUGACGCUGGAGACGCGAAAAGCGUGGGGAGCGAACAGG